UGAAUAUUUCGAUAAUUUUGAUAUUCAAAAUUCCCAAAUUUUUAGACUAACCUUUUUUGGGAUUUAAUAAUAGGUACUUACACUAUGUAUGCUUUAAGGAGUAUAAAAAUAAAAAUGGUAGAACGAACACCGUGUUUAGAUUUACAACGCACAUAUUCUCACUAAAAUCCGAUAAAAUAUUGUACAUUGUUUCAACAAUUUCCAACUUUUGAUAAAAUCGUCUUGAGGAAGAAAAAUACUUCAGAUGAACGAUUUCCUAAAAACUUUGUUGACAUUUCGCGCUGCGUAAACAACAAACAACUGUGGAAAUAACAGUUAGCAGCAAAUGUCAGAAAUACCGUACGGCUACUGACAGCUGGAAAUGCGCGCGCAUAAGCCAAAAGCAAUCACACACACACCAACAAACACAUGCAUACGCGGGAAGCUUUUUCCAGAUGACAAACUCUAAUGUAUUUGGAGCAAAAUGUGCGAUGUUUCGCUUGCCAAAGCAUACCAAAGGCAAAAACAUGAAAUUAGUGGCAAGCGGAACAACAACAACAACGAUAGUAAAAACAAAACGCUGAGAAGAGACAUUGGAACGCCGCAGUGGCGCUGACUGUGGGAAAAUUGCUUGCGCCUGCAAGACGAAAUCUCAAUUCACAUACACACUCACACACACAUACACAUGCAUACGAUAAGUGGACGACUCACUCGCUGUGCAAAGGUGUUUACAUACACGCCGCCGCCACCGAGCAGCACGAGAUAGGCGCUCCGCGGGUGGGCGGCAGACGACAACCAGCCGACCAAACCAGCCACCCAAAAAGCCGACGAGCAGCGAACGCACAGCCACUCAAAGCGACAAAAAUCGCUGCGUCGAAACGGCAUACACAGCGGACGGAUGCUGCCGAAUUGAGUUGAAUGUGAAAAGUAUUGAGGCGGAGCGGAUCGUUGGAAAUGAAGCAGAUUUUUUUGUUGAAUAGACAAAACGCGCAGUAAAGCAAAUAAAGGCGCUCAUUGGCGAAAUAAAAUAAGAAAAAAAUACACAUAUUCAAAUUAAUAUUAGAAAUAUUUGAGAAAACUGCAAUUCGUUGGAGAAAAUGCGCUGGAAAUAUGCACAGCACACUCACACGUGUCUUCCGCGCCUUCGCUGCAGAGAACAGCAAGCGUUUUCGGUGCAUUAGUACGCGUUAACUGUCGAUUUUCGGGCGUGCAUGUGCGUGCGUGUGUGUGUGUGUGCGUUUGAAAAAUCUGUGACAAUUUUUGCGAAAAUAAAUUCAAUGUCGGAAGUCGCGUAAAAGACAAAGUGUCCAAGUGCAGAAUUCUAUGGUGCUGAAAAUUUGAGAACUUUUUUUUUUUGAAAAUACCUGAAAGCCUACGUCUGAGUGAUAGCCGAACACCGUGUAUGAAAAUAAAUAAAACCAUUCAACUGUGCUGAUUUAUAAACGCAAAAAUACAAAAGAAAUACCAAAUUACAGCAAAAGUGUGCACACUCUCGCCACGGUGUUGUGCUGUGUGAGUUUCAGGCUACUUAACCUUGACAUAUCAAACGACAAGACGCAUCUCGUGGCUACAAACAGCAGCCAACCAUACAACCAACCAAGCAGCCACCCAUUACCUACCAUCAACCACCAGCAACCAGCCACCAGCAGCAGCUUCAGCAACGACAAACCACUAGCAGCUGUAGCUUGCAGUCGCGCAAAGAAAAAUACAAAAAAAAAAUACAAGAACAAAGUGACAAAUAACAAUGCUGGAAAACAAUAAAUAGACCAAAUCGGAAGGCGAAAAAGUUGCAAGUGAAAGCAAGCGAAAAUGGGUCUCAAGUGUUGACCAAAAAUAUCAAAACAAAUCUUAUUUUAAAUAAUUUAAAUGCUUGUCGUUUCGUAGUAGUGUAAUUUUGUGUAGUGUAUUUGUUUUUAAAGUGUAUUUAAACGACGGAGUUUGUAAAACAAAAGGAAAACCAGUAGAACGAAGCUGAAAACAAAAGCGUACAAAGCAACGUUAAUCAAAAAACAACAAAGCAUCAACGCAUAUUAGUUACCAUAUCAAAAAACGUAUUUAAAUUUUACAACAAAUAAAUAAAAAUAAAAAAAUCUUAGAACAAAACAAAAUAUCAAAUUGGAACCGAGCACACAUCAUUUUUCCCCAAAAAGGCUAACGAAAUAUUAGCAUGAAAAAAGAGUAUUUUCUCGAUAGAGAUAUUUCUACAAGCGCAUCAAAUGCUAUUUCCAUAGUAAUUGCUUUCUUUACUUAAACGCUAUAAAUGCAAAAUACACAAAAUCCGCAAAAAUCGCAAAAAUCGCCAAAACAAAUUACGCAACAAAGCUGCCAGAUAAGAUGAACACAGUUGCAUGCGACGCUAAUGCGCUGCUAGCAACAACAAAACACAAUAAUUCGCACGCUACAAAUAACACGCGUAGCAACAACAACAAACAAACAAAUAUCAACAGCAAAAAUAUAUCAACAAAACAAAUCGCAACAGCAACAAA